AUUGAACGCUGGCGGCAGGCUUAACACAUGCAAGUCGAGCGGAGAUGAGGUGCUUGCACCUUAUCUUAGCGGCGGACGGGUGAGUAAUGCUUAGGAAUCUGCCUAUUAGUGGGGGACAACAUUCCGAAAGGAAUGCUAAUACCGCAUACGUCCUACGGGAGAAAGCAGGGGCUCUUCGGACCUUGCGCUAAUAGAUGAGCCUAAGUCGGAUUAGCUAGUUGGUGGGGUAAAGGCCUAUCAAGGCGACGAUCUGUAGCGGGUCUGAGAGGAUGAUCGGCCACACUGGGACUGAGACACGGCCCAGACUCCUACGGGAGGCAGCAGUGGGGAAUAUUGGACAAUGGGGGGAACCCUGAUCCAGCCAUGCCGCGUGUGUGAAGAAGGCCUUAUGGUUGUAAAGCACUUUAAGCGAGGAGGAGGCUACUGAGACUAAUACUCUUGGAUAGUGGACGUUACUCGCAGAAUAAGCACCGGCUAACUCUGUGCCAGCCGCCGCCGUAAGAC
rnacentral:rRNA from 1 species